rnacentral:rRNA from 1 species
UACAGGGGGUGCAAACGUUGCUCGGAAUCAUUGGGCGUAAAGCGCACGUAGGCGGUCUGUUAUGUCGGAUGUGAAAGCCCUCGGCUCAACUGAGGAAGUGCAUCCGAAACUGGCAGGCUAGAGUACUAAAGAGGGUCGCGGAAUUCCCGGUGUAGAGGUGAAAUUCGUAGAUAUCGGGAGGAACACCGGUGGCGAAGGCGGCGACCUGGGUAGAUACUGACGCUGAGGUGCGAAAGCGUGGGGAGCGAACAGC